rnacentral:rRNA from 1 species
UACAGAGGGUGCAAACGUUGCUCGGAAUUACUGGGCGUAAAGCGCGUGUAGGCGGCUUAUUAAGUCGACUGUGAAAGCCCAUGGCUCAACCAUGGAAGUGCAGUCGAAACUGGUGAGCUUGAGUCCCGAAGAGGAUGGCGGAAUGCCCAGUGUAGAGGUGAAAUUCGUAGAUAUUGGGUAGAACACCAGUGGCGAAGGCGGCCAUCUGGGAGGGUACUGACGAUGAUACGCGAAAGCAUGGGGAGCAAACAGG